ACGGAGGCGCUCAAAGGUUCUCUCAGUACGGUCGGAAAUCGUACGUAGAGUGUAAAGGCAAAAGAGAGCUUGAUUGCAAGACAUACAGGUCGAGCAAGGAUGAAAAUCGGACUUAGUGAUCCGGUGGUUCUGCGUGGAAGGGCCAUCGCUCAACGGAUAAAAGCUACCCUGGGGAUAACAGGCUUAUCUCCCCCAAGAGUCCACAUCGACGGGGAGGUUUGGCACCUCGAUGUCGGCUCAUCACAUCCUGGGGCUGUAGUAGGUCCCAAGGGUUGGGCUGUUCGCCCAUUAAAGUGGUACGCGAGCUGGGUUCAGAACGUCGUGAGACAGUUCGGUCCCUAUCCGUCGCAGGCGUAGGAAAUUUGAGAAGACCUGUCCUUAGUACGAGAGGACCGGGAUGGACGUACCUCUGGUGUACCAGUUGUUCUGCCAAGGGCAUGGCUGGGUAGCUAUGUACGGAAUGGAUAAGCGCUGAAAGCAUCUAAGCGCGAAGCCAACUUCAAGAUAAGAUUUCCCACCGCAAGGGUAAGACCCCAGAAAGACUAUCUGGUUGAUAGGUCGAAGGUGUAAGUGCAGCAAUGUAUUUAGCUUAUCGAUACUAAUAGGUCGAGGACUUGACCAA
rnacentral:rRNA from 1 species